GACGAACGCUGGCGGCGUGCUUAAUACAUGCAAGUCACAGGGUUUUGAUUCCUUCGGGAGUCACGACACUGGCGCACGGGUGAGUAACACGUAAGUCAUCUGCCCUUUGGUCUGGCAUAACAUCUCGAAAGGGGUGGCUAAUUCCAGAUGAUACCGCAAGGUCAAAGCCGUAAGGCGCCGAAGGAUGAGCUUGCGUCUGAUUAGCUUGUUGGCGGGGUAACGAGCCCACCAAGGCUACGAUCAGUAGCCGGUCCUGAGAGGAUGAUCGGCCACAUUGGGACUGAGACACGGCCCAGACUCCUACGGGAGGCAGCAGUAAGGAAUAUUGCGCAAUGGACGAAAGUACUGACGCAGCAACGCCGCGUGUAGGAUGAAGGCUCUUUGAGUCGUAAACUACUGUAGCAGGGGAAUAAUACUUCGCUUUGCGAAGGGAGAAGGUACCCUGAAGUAAGCCACGGCUAACUACGUGCCAGCAGCCGCCGUAAG
rnacentral:rRNA from 1 species